rnacentral:rRNA from 1 species
GACAGAGGUUGCAAACGUUGUUCGGAAUUACUGGGCAUAAAGCGCACGUAGGCGGUUCGUUAAGUCAUGUGUGAAAUCCCUCGGCUCAACCGAGGAAUUGCGCCUGAUACUGGCGAGCUAGAGAUCGAUAGGGGUGAGUGGAACUCCAGGUGGAGCGGUGAAAUGCGUAGAUAUCUGGAGGAACACCGGUGGCGAAAGCGGCUCACUGGAUCGAUACUGACGCUGAGGUGCGAAAGCUAGGGUAGCAAACGGGG